rnacentral:rRNA from 1 species
CAAUAGCGUAUAUUAAAGUUGUUGCAGUUAAAAAGCUCGUAGUUGGAUUUCUGGUUGAAGCGACCGGUCGGGCGUUGAUUCGUCUGCACUGGAGUCGGUUUUGGCCAUCCUCUAGGAAAGUGCGUCUGGUAUUAAGUUAUCGGGCGUAUGAUCCUGGUCUUUUACUGUGAAAAAAUUAGAGUGUUUAAAGCAGGCCUUCGCCUUGAAUACAUUAGCAUGGAAUAAUAAGAUAGGACUUUGGUCUAUUUUGUUGGUUUGCAGACCGAAGUAAUGAUUAAUAGGGAUAGUUGGGGGUAUUUAUAUUCCGAUGUCAGAGGUGAAAUUCUUAGAUUUUCGGAAGAUAAACUUAUGCGAAAGCAUUUACCAAGGAUGUUAUCAUUAA